rnacentral:misc_RNA from 1 species
GGCGAGUACCACUUCUAGUAGCUUAUUAGCAAAGCCAAGCAUUUGAAACUUGUUGGGCUGGUUUCAUAAAAAGUUUCUACAAAUCACUGGCUGUCAGGUUCCCCUGAACAUUUCUUGUUCCAACCACCAGAACCAGCUUUCCUCUCUCCCCGCUUUCUCUUGUUCUUUGGAAAUUGGAAAUCUGAGGCUAAACAUGAUUUCAGAGUUGAUUGCUCCUCUGAGAAAGUGGUUUUUGCCGUUGGAUCUGGUUCUAAGGUAGUAACUGGACAAGGAUUGGUGCUUUCUUCUUCUCCUUUCUCUUGUUCGUGAUGCUUCUCUAGAAGUUGAUUAUCUGUCCCUAUGAAAGUGUCUCUCUCUCCCUUGGUUGAUUCAGUAUGUGUCAACACAUUAUCCACAAUAUCUUCACAUGAAUCUCCAAUUUGUGG